UACGGAGGGUGCAAGCGUUAUCCGGAUUCACUGGGUUUAAAGGGUGCGUAGGCGGGCAGGGAAGUCAGAGGUGAAAUCUCCGAGCUUAACUCGGAACCUGCCCUUGAUACUCUCUGUCUUGAAUAUGGUGGAGGUAAGCGGAAUAUGUCAUGUAGCGGUGAAAUGCUUAGAGAUGACAUAGAACACCUAUUGCGAAGGCAGCUUACUACGCCUAUAUUGACGCUGAGGCACGAAAGCGUGGGGAUCAAACAGG
rnacentral:rRNA from 1 species